GGGGGUAUAGCUCAGCUGGGAGAGCGCUUGCAUGGCAUGCAAGAGGUCAGCAGUUCGAUCCUGCUUACCUCCACCA
rnacentral:tRNA from 28 species